CUCACAUGUAGGCUAUUCAAGCUGCCUUGAAAAUAUUUAGUAGCCUAUUUAAUUUUAUUGAAUCAAAUCUUGUAGGGUAAAUAAAGCAUCCUAAAUGUGCUUCUAGAUGUUUUGUCAUUUUGGGCUACAGCCUUCUGAUAUUGCUGAGGUGACCUGUGGGUGUGUGUGUAGGGUAUAGGGGAUUCCUGGAGACCCCCUUCUUGAAGAAGACCUCCCCUCUCCCUCCCUUCAUCCUUCUCCUCCUCUCUACCAGCUGAAACUCAGGAGCGCCGCCGAUCGGUACCGACACCUCUCCAGCGAGCUAAAGCCAAGAUGGAGGGUCCGCGCUCAGCGAGAACAGGAACGAAUCCCCGCAAGCCACUCUUUGCUUUCCAAUGAAGAGGAUUUAUUCCUGAUCAGUCACUUGAUCUCGGAAAAUCGACAUUGACCCGUUUGUUUGGAGAAUCGCUGAUCCGAGGAUGAGUUCAGGGGAGGGAGAGGACACAUCUAAGGAGGCGGCCGACAUAGCGGCGUUUUUUAAAUCCGAAUGUUCUCUUCCAAAAUGUGAACCCAAGCUUGAGUUACCCAGUCACCCAGGUAAGACACUGUUAUUGCUGACAUUUAUUUGGUUGAGCUACAUUAAUAUUUUUGCACAGUAUUCAAAUUAGUCUCUUUUUAGCUAUUAGCAUUGGUUAUUUUUUUAUUUUAUUUUUUAUUUUAAUGUUUAAUCUAAUUAAUGUGCCAUUUAUAUUAGCCUGCUGCACACAAUUGUUUGGUUUCAGUUUUAAAUGUCUUGAAAUCCAGAUUCAAGAAUAUGGAAUACCAUCUGUGAGGUUGUUUCGGUUAAGAGAACUGUUCGAGCAUUAACACUACUGAGCUGAUUGCCCAUUUGGCUUUUGGCUGGUUUAAUCUGUUGAUUCAUCUAAAUGCUUUUAUUUGGUUUCAUUAGGUCAUGCUACAUUGGAUUCCUGCAGGGUGAAUCUAGUUUUUACUCUUUAAUCAUGCAUUUUAGAUUGAGUACAAAUGCAACUGAACUGAGUCUGAUUUGUUGAUGAUAUCAUUAUGAGGAUGAUGGGUUAUUUACACUAUAAACUGAAAAUUGCGUAUAUAUGUCAAAUCUGAAAAAGAACACUUUGCACAAAAUCAGACCUUUAUAUAUAGGAAAUUGAUUAUUAUUAUUAUUAUUAUUAUUAUUUUUUAUUUUUUUUUUUUCAGACAGUCGGGAGGUUCUAGGACGUAUUUUGAAAGUAACUACACUUGACCCAGUUAUGUCUAAUAUUAGUUGAACAUUUGCUCGUCCCAAGAUAAUAUCUUCUGCAGCCAGCCGACACAGUUAAUAUCUGGUUCUUUAGAUUUGCUUAGAUUUGUCAUAGUAUUAGUUUUAUUUUGCUUGCACCCUAAAAAGAACAUCUUUUGGCUAGUUUCAUCAAAUCCAGUGUAAAAUUCUAAUAUUUAAGAAUAAAUUGCUGAGGUUUGUGUAGAAUUCCCUAUGCUGGUUAUUUGAGCGAUGCUGUUUAACUCGUUACUCAAGGUGCACAGAACAUUUCUGUGAGUGGCAAUGAACUAAAUCAGUUCAAUAAGCAUGUCUAAAAAUAAAAGGGGUGCAUGACAUUUCUUUGUUUCUCACGUCCGUCCCCUACGGCACCUUUCAUAUGAGACCCUAGCUUGUUAUUCAUUUCAAGCUGUGUCUUUCAUAAUCAGCUCUCUAAUGACUACUGAACCUCAAAACUACAGUAAUAACAUGACAGCAAUAAGAACAAAUUUAAUAUAACCAAGCCUUCAAGAAUUUUGUUUCUAAUUACAUCGCAAUAACAUAAACUCAUAAUAACAAAUGAGAAAAUAUUUUUAAACCCAAAACCUAGCAAAUAAAGUUUUAGGUUUCCGACUUUAGGCAAGUGAGCUCUGCCCUGUUCCCCGCAGUGGUUUACUCUUUCUCUAAUUGGAGAUUGAAGUGUAUUAGACCCAUGCCGAGAUGUGCCGGAAUCUGGUACGUUCUCAGGUCCGGAGGGAGUCACUCACACAAUGGACAUCUCCAGAGGAGGUCUUUGUGCUGUCUGCCAAAGUCCUCGACAUGCUCAUCACCCCCAAUCAGUCCCACCAUAUCUACUGGCCAGUAGAGUAAACAUUAAGGCUCCAAAGAUUCUUUAGUACCCAAAACCUUAAAACACCUCUUUCAGACAGAUGGACACACACAUACACAUCCAAACACUUUGGUGGGCUUCUGUCCAACCCUGUUUUCAAGCAGGGUUAGGUCCUAUACAAUGAUGUGUUGAUGCUUUACUAAAAAGAACUUUGUAGUUCACUUAGUUUUACAAAUAAAGGAAUAUAGUAUAAAGGGUGGUUAACACAAAAUACUUUUGUGUUAAUCUGAGCUAGAUGUGCAUUAAAGGGCUGGAAGUAUAAAGAACAAGAACUGACCAGCGCACUUGGUCACACGGUCUAAAGACAUCUUCUUCUCAACAGCAUUUAUAAAUAGCUGACCUAGUCCAAGUGGACUAUUUUGCAGGUUGCCUGUAAAAUAGGGCUUGCAUAUAGCUAAUAGCUAGCGUUGUUUUCAAAUGUAGUCUAAGAGAAGGAUUUGUUGGACCCAAAACUUUCAGUUCCUCUUCAGGAACUCGAGCUGCGUCGAGCGCUUUGGGGAACGCGUCUAGCGUGAGCGACUCUGAAUAUCGUGUGAAAUCAGUCCAAUGGAAGAGCGUGACGUCACGGGCGGGGUGACGUAAGCGACCAGGAAGCUAUAAAAGCACAUGCCGCGCAGCUGGCAUCAGCUUCGCGUCUUCAGCAAGCGCUCUGUGUGUGCAUGUCAUUUUGUCUUGUGAGUCUUAUUUACUGUUGUCUGUCCAGUAGAGCUCCAAGCAAUGUCCAAGUGCA
rnacentral:lncRNA from 12 species